ACCCACUGAGCGAGGGGAUUGAACCUGCGUCCUCAUGGAUAUUUGGGUUCAUUACCGCUGAGCCACGGUGGGAAUGUCCUGUUUGCCUUUUCUUCUAAUUUGCUUUUUGUUCAUUUAAUUUACAGGCUCCAGGAACUGAACCUAAGAGGGUUCUCCCUGCCCCGUGGGGGGCGGCUCCUGUGAUUUGCAUCCGGAGUGAGGGUUCCUGCUGUGCUCAGGUGGCAUUGCCCUGAGAACAAUGGCCCGGCUGCUGCGGGGGCACCACGGGGCACCUUCCGUUGUCCCACGGAUCCCCAGGUAAAGCCGGGGGAGGGCCCCCCCCCCGAGCCCUGAGAAAAGCCCAACACGAAGCACCCAGAGGAAGCCACGUGCUCCAAGAAAAGGUUAUCGCGGGUGGUGACCAGGCACCUGGUGCCACCUGAUUGACACAUUAAUGAAAUGUCUCUAAAGAGGCAAUUUGGGGCUGUUACCUGGGCAGCUCCAUCUGCACAGUGGGCAGGGGCCUGUGCCCUCCAGGAAGCAGGUGUUGCCGUGGGCAAGGGCUGGCCACUGGGCUGGCCCUGGGGGGUUCAGGGCUCCCAUGGGCUACUGGCGAAGAGCGGGUGGGGGCCGAGUGGACACUUCGGGGGGCAGGGCUUGGGAGGUUUGUUUUAGCCACAAAAUCACAGCUAGAGACUCAGCGGGGAGGGGCCUUGGACGUGUGCUUGGUUCCCCAGGGACUGCUGCCCAUCACCGCUUUGUCCCAGCCCCUAGGACCGCGCUGGUGGUGGACGGAUGUGGUACCGAGUUCAGCCCCUGAGAGCAGCACUGGCCCACUGGACCUGGUUUUUCAUCCAGCUCUGGCCACUCCCAAGGGACCUGGGCUGGCCUCGGGGUGCAGGAGGCUGGAGCCUUGGGUGUCCCCAGCACAGGUCAGUGUGUCACCCUGGUGGCUUCACAAGCCGGGCAGGCUCCUGCAUCCUUUGUCCAGUGUCAGCAAUGGGACCAGCUGAGCCACAAGUGCCACCAAGGCUCCUCAGCCUCAGAGCUGGGGGCGCAGCCACACCUGGUCCCAGAGAUGCCCACAGCCCUUCAGGGGAGGCGCCUCUAGGUGGCAUGAGGCUUUUACCCUCAACUGGAAGCACUGCUUUUUGCCCCAACUCUGAGCUCGCCUGACCCCCACGGGUGAUGGCGCCCCCUGCAGCCAGCCGCCAGCCCUCAUGGCACCUCCUCCCCACCUUGCCAGGUCCACGGCCCUCACGCCCAGAGUGCCAGCUCCCUCCUCAGCCUUGGUGCCCAAACCCCCACUGUCCUGGGGCCCCAGGGACCCUGGGUGUCCCGAGGGGACCGCGGUGCACAGGGACCCUGCCAGGAAAGCCGAGGGCCCCCCACCUUAUCACAAAGCAUUUCACGUUUAUUUAAAUAAAAAUUAUAAUUUAUACAAGA